AACGAACGCUGGCGGCGUGGUUUAGGCAUGCAAGUCGAGCGAGAAAGUCCUUCGGGACGAGUACAGCGGCGAAAGGGUGAGUAAUAUAUAGGUAACCUACCUCUUGGACUCGGAUAAUUCCUGGAAACGGGUUGUAAUACGAGAUCGUCCUAUUGGGUCGCAUGGCCCGACUGGUAAAUGGUAGCUCUGCUUCUGCCGAGAGAGGGGCCUAUAUCCUAUUAGCUAGUUGGUGAGGUAAUGGCUCACCAAGGCUUUGAUGGGUAGCCGGACUGAGAGGUUGGCCGGUCACACUGGGACUGAGACACUGCCCAGACUCCUACGGGAGGCUGCAGUCGAGAAUCUUCCGCAAUGGGCGAAAGCCUGACGGGGCGACGCCGCGUGAACGAAGAAGGCCU
rnacentral:rRNA from 1 species